AUUGAACGCUGGCGGCAGGCCUAACACAUGCAAGUCGAACGGUAACAGGAAGCAGCUUGCUUCUUGCUGACGAGUGGCGGACGGGUGAGUAAUGUCUGGGAAACUGCCUGAUGGAGGGGGAUAACUACUGGAAACGGUAGCUAAUACCGCAUAACGUCGCAAGACCAAAGAGGGGGACCUUCGGGCCUCUUGCCAUCGGAUGUGCCCAGAUGGGAUUAGCUGUGGUGGGGUAACGGCUCACCAGGCGACGAUCCCUAGCUGGUCUGAGAGGAUGACCAGCCACACUGGAACUGAGACACGGUCCAGACUCCUACGGGAGGCAGCAGUGGGGAAUAUUGCACAAUGGGCGCAAGCCUGAUGCAGCCAUGCCGCGUGUAUGAAGAAGGCCUUCGGGUUGUAAAGUACUUUCAGCGGGGAGGAAGGGAGUAAAGUUAAUACCUUUGCUCAUUGACGUUACCCGCAGAAGAAGCACCGGCUAACUCCGUGCCAGCAGCCGCGGUAAUACGGAGGGUGCAAGCGUUAAUCGGAAUUACUGGGCGUAAAGCGCACGCAGGCGGUUUGUUAAGUCAGAUGUGAAAUCCCCGGGCUCAACCUGGGAACUGCAUCUGAUACUGGCAAGCUUGAGUCUCGUAGAGGGGGGUAGAAUUCCAGGUGUAGCGGUGAAAUGCGUAGAGAUCUGGAGGAAUACCGGUGGCGAAGGCGGCCCCCUGACGAAGACU
rnacentral:rRNA from 1 species